rnacentral:rRNA from 1 species
AUCGCGGUUUCCAGAGAUGGAUUCCUUCAGCUCGGCUGGAUAGGUGACAGGUGCUGCAUGGCUGUCGUCAGCUCGUGUCGUGAGAUGUUGGGUUAAGUCCCGCAACGAGCGCAACCCUCGCUCUUAGUUGCCAUCAGGUAAAGCUGGGCACUCUAAGAGAACUACCGGUGAUAAGCCGGAGGAAGGUGGGGAUGACGUCAAGUCCUCAUGGCCCUUAUGGGAUGGGCUACACACGUGCUACAAUGGCGGUGACAGUGGGAAGCAAAGGUGCGAGCCUGAGCAAAUCUCCAAAAGCCGUCUCAGUUCGGAUUGUUCUCUGCAACUCGAGAGCAUGAAGUUGGAAUCGCUAGUAAUCGUGGAUCAGCAUGCCACGGUGAAUACGUUCCCGGGCCUUGUACACACCGCCCGUCACACCAUGGGAGUUGGUUUUACCCGAAGCUGGUGAGCUAACCGCAAGGAGGCAGCCAACCACGGUAAGGUCAGCGACUGGGGUGA